GUUAAACGUGUUGGCCAACUAGGGAAAACUAAGUGUGGGGUAGAGAGUGUAACCAAUAGUCUGCAUGAAUAGGUGAGACUUCCUGAGACAAUGCUGCACUAUGACGAGGUGGCUGUGGGAAAUAUGUGAGACCCCCAAGAAACUGUGAAAUCAGGUAUAGUGGCUCGACAACUACAUUACAUAGUUACUUAGCUGAAAAAGAGACUAGCAUCCCCCAAGUCCAGCCUAC